UACGUAGGGUGCAAGCGUUGUCCGGAAUUAUUGGGCGUAAAGAGCUCGUAGGCGGUCUGUCGCGUCGGCUGUGAAAUCCCGAGGCUCAACCUCGGGGCUGCAGUCGAUACGGGCAAACUAGAGUAUUGCAGGGGAGACUGGAAUUCCUGGUGUAGCGGUGAAAUGCGCAGAUAUCAGGAGGAACACCGGUGGCGAAGGCGGGUCUCUGGGCAAUAACUGACGCUGAGGAGCGAAAGCGUGGGGAGCGAACAGG
rnacentral:rRNA from 1 species